UGACACACGUAGUUUUUCAGAUGAUUUGACUGAAAAUAAGAAAAUGGUGAAGCACUGGAUGACAAAGGGUGAUCGUCAUGGGGAAGUGAGGGAACUAAUAAUGAGGGAUUCUGAUAAAAUCCAAAAUGAAGUCUAAAAGCUCGCCAAAAUAGUUGUCGUAGUGACGAUGAAACAGAGAGGUACCAAACUCAAGCUGUUGCUACAACUUUCAACAGCCCUCUCUUGUCACUCAAAGAUGACAAGCCUGUUGUUGUGCUCAGACAUGGUGAUUUACUUUCACCUUCUGAUUGUACGCGCAUCCGCAUGUAUUUGGGACAACUGCUGGGUAUUCAUCCGAAGAGACAAAAUUUUGACAUCCCUGGUGGCAUCAAGAUAAGUUAC